GCCAGGUAUGGUGGCGCACACCUGUAAUCCCAGCAGCUCGGGAGGCUGAGGCAGGAGGAUUACGAAUUCAAAGCCAGUCUCAGCAAAAGCAAGGCACUAACAAUUCAGUGAGACCCUGUCUCUA
rnacentral:sRNA from 1 species